rnacentral:rRNA from 2 species
CACCGAAGCUGCGGCAGCGAACGUAUCACCCAAGACAACUUUACGGAGUUGACGAUUGACGGAGCGAAGCGACGUCAAAGCGUUCAUUAAAGUCGAGUUGGCUUAGGGAUACGUUCGUUGGGUAGGGGAGCGUUCUGUAAGCCUGUGAAGGUGUGUCGUGAGGCAUGCUGGAGGUAUCAGAAGUGCGAAUGCUGACAUAAGUAACGAUAAAGCGGGUGAAAAGCCCGCUCGCCGGAAGACCAAGGGUUCCUGUCCAACGUUAAUCGGGGCAGGGUGAGUCGACCCCUAAGGCGAGGCCGAAAGGCGUAGUCGAUGGGAAACGGGUUAAUAUUCCCGUACUUGGUGUUACUGCGAAGGGGGGACGGAGAAGGCUAUGUUGGCCGGGCGACGGUUGUCCCGGUUUAAGCGUGUAGGUGUGUGUUCCAGGUAAAUCCGGUUCACUUUAACACUGAGGCGUGACGACGAGGCACUACGGUGCUGAAGCAACAAAUGCCCUGCUUCCAGGAAAAGCCUCUAAGCAUCAGGUAACACGAAAUCGUACCCCAAACCGACACAGGUGGUCAGGUAGAGAAUACCAAGGCGCUUGAGAGAACUCGGGUGAAGGAACUAGGCAAAAUGGUGCCGUAACUUCGGGAGAAGGCACGCUGACACGUAGGUGAAGUGAUUUACUCAUGGAGCUGAAGUCAGUCGAAG